rnacentral:rRNA from 1 species
UACGUAGGGUGCGAGCGUUGUCCGGAAUUAUUGGGCGUAAAGAGCUCGUAGGCGGUGUGUCACGUCGAUCGUGAAAACUUACAGCUUAACUGUGAGCGUGCGGUCGAUACGGGCAUCACUUGAGUUCGGUAGGGGAGACUGGAAUUCCUGGUGUAGCGGUGAAAUGCGCAGAUAUCAGGAGGAACACCGGUGGCGAAGGCGGGUCUCUGGGCCGAUACUGACGCUGAGGCACGAAAGCGUGGGGAGCAAACAGG